GACGAACGCUGGCGGCGUGCUUAACACAUGCAAGUCGAACGGAAAGGCCCUGCUUUUGUGGGGUGCUCGAGUGGCGAACGGGUGAGUAACACGUGAGUAACCUGCCCUUGACUUUGGGAUAACUUCAGGAAACUGGGGCUAAUACCGGAUAGGAGCUCCUGCUGCAUGGUGGGGGUUGGAAAGUUUCGGCGGUUGGGGAUGGACUCGCGGCUUAUCAGCUUGUUGGUGGGGUAGUGGCUUACCAAGGCUUUGACGGGUAGCCGGCCUGAGAGGGUGACCGGCCACAUUGGGACUGAGAUACGGGCCAGACUGCUACGGGAGGCAGCAGUGGGGAAUAUUGCAAAAUGGGCGGAAGCCGGAUGCAGCAACGCCGGGUGCGGGAUGACGGCCUUCGGGUUGUAAACCGCUUUCGCCUGUGACGAAGCGUGAGUGACGGUAAUGGGUAAAGAAGCACCGGCUAACUACGUG
rnacentral:rRNA from 1 species